GCCCGCCUAGCUCAAUCGGAUAGAGCGUCAGACUUUUAAGGCAGGGCAGUGCGAACCUUUCACAUCUGAAGGCUGCGAGUUCGACCCUCGCGGUGGGCU